UACGUAGGGUGCAAGCGUUGUCCGGAAUUAUUGGGCGUAAAGAGCUCGUAGGCGGUUCGUCGCGUCGGCUGUGAAAACCCGGAGCUCAACUCCGGGCCUGCAGUCGAUACGGGCGGACUUGAGUGUUGCAGGGGAGACUGGAAUUCCUGGUGUAGCGGUGAAAUGCGCAGAUAUCAGGAGGAACACCGGUGGCGAAGGCGGCAUCCUGGACCGGUAUUGACACUGAGGCGCGAAAGCCAGGGGAGCAAACGGG
rnacentral:rRNA from 1 species